rnacentral:tRNA from 1 species
AGCCCGGUGGUGUAGCGGACAAUCAUCCCGGACUUUGGAUCCGGGGACCGGGGUUCGAAUCCCCGCCGGGCUACCA